rnacentral:rRNA from 1 species
GGAGUGGCCGAUGCCUGAUUAGCUAGUUGGUGGGGUAAUGGCCUACCAAGGCGACGAUCAGUAGUUGGUCUGAGAGGACGACCAGCCACACUGGGACUGAGACACGGCCCAGACUCCUACGGGAGGCAGCAGUGGGGAAUUUUGGACAAUGGGCGAAAGCCUGAUCCAGCAAUGCCGCGUGAGUGAAGAAGGCCUUCGGGUUGUAAAGCUCUUUCAGUCGAGAAGAAAAGGUUGUGACUAAUAAUCACAACUCAUGACGGUAUCGACAGAAGAAGCACCGGCUAACUACGUGCCAGCAGCCGCGGUAAUACGUAGGGUGCGAGCGUUAAUCGGAAUUACUGGGCGUAAAGGGUGCGCAGGGGGCUUUGUAAGUCAGAUGUGAAAUCCCCGGG